GACGAACGCUGGCGGCGUGCCUAAUACAUGCAAGUCGAACGCAGUGGGGACGGGUGAGUAACACGUGGGUAACCUCCCAUCAGAGGGGAUAACACUUGGAAACAGGUGCUAAACCGAUACUGAUGGAUGGACCCGCGGUGCAGUAGCUAGUUGGUGAGGUAACGGCUCACCAAGGCCACGAUGCAUCGAGGAUCGGAGAGGGUGAUCGGCCACAUGGGGACUGAGAGACGGCCCAGAAUCCUACGGGAGGCAGCAGUAGGGAAUCUGCGGAAAUGGACGAAAGUCUGACCGAGCAACGCCGCGUGAGUGAAGAAGGUUUUCGGAUCGUAAAGCUCUGUUGUUAGAGAAGCGGUAUCUAACCAGAAAGCCACGGCUAACUACGUGCCAGCAGCCGCGGUAAUUC
rnacentral:rRNA from 1 species